UCUUCAAACUUUUUCUCAGAUAAAUUGUCACUGCUUCACUGAACCCUAAAUCAACUUUGCAAAUAUACCUCACUCAUUGAACCCUAAAUCAAAUUUUCCACACCACCGCUUCACCUCUCUCUCGUACAACUCUUCUCUUCUUCUCCACGGGACACCGAACAUCUCUUCUCUCCCUCUCUCUAUGAGUUCCAAAUCGUCCAAUAAUACUGUGUUGCUGAGGUUUUUCAUCAUCAAAUCGUCCAAACCCACGGCUCCUCGAUUCAAAUCAGUUCCAACAAAGCUCCUUUUCUUCAAAGGUGUUGAUUUCAAGAUCAAAAGACUCACCGUAGGUGGAAAACUAUUAAAACUUACAAUUUGGGACACAAGUAUGUAUAUACUAUAGUCAGAUUAGAUCUUUCAGUUCAAGAAGAAAAACCAAACUGAACCAUUAUAAUAGUUCGGUAAAACUGUCAGUCACAAUUCAGUUUAUAUGUUUUUAUAACAGUACUGACCUACAAGGUAACAAAGUAUGUAAAGAUAGAGGGAAUUAUUGAACAGGUAAUUUAUACACAAGAGGGAAUUAUUGUACAAAUAUAUACAAUAAGAAGUUCUCUUACAAAGGUUUUUCUAAUAUUUGUCUCGAUCAAUUAGAAUUUCGUAGAUAGAGUACCAAAUGUUCAUAUUGUUUUGCUCAAAUUUCACGCAUUUCAUGCUCUUGAAUUUAAUAUAAUCAAUCUAGGUACUCAAUUGCUUUGCUCUUUGCAUAGAUUUUUGCAGGUAGAUUGUAUGUUUGAAAUAUCAAUUGACUAAUGGAGAUAGCAUCACUCAUGUAUCGAGUAGGUCUAUAGACUAUAGGUGUAUCAAUUAGCUUAUUUUAUGUUUAUUAAGUUUCUAGUUUUUUAUUUGAAUGAUUAUUUUUGUGUGUAUUGUGUUUAUCCAUUUCAGUUUUAUCUUCUUCAUGAUUUGAUUGAUUCUUCAUGGUUUUUACGAUAUUUGGUGUACUUGAAGAAAGGGAAGUUCGGCUGGAACCUCAAAUCAUACAUCGUGCCAUAUUAGUCAUGAUGAUUUCCUAUUGUGUUUAUCUUCAUAAACUUCCAGAAGUUUUGUAAAAGUCUUCGGAAUCAAGCAUUGUUGUAAGCACUUUUAAGCAGGAUGAAGACCUCGAGUUAACAUUAUGAUGUGGACAUUGCAGCAAGGAGGAAGUGGACGGAACUGAAUGGCACUCCCCCCGCUCCUUCAGAUUUGUUUGUUCACACACACCAACAUCGCAAGAAUAAACUUGAGUGUGGCAGAUGAUAAUGAUGUAUGUCUGAUGAUGAUGAUCAAGUUCAUGAAGAUGAUGUGGCAGAUGAUAAAUUGAUGAUGAUGAUGAUGAUGAUGAUGAUGAUGAUGAUGAUGAUGAUAUGUCUGAUGAUGGUGUAGUAGUGUGGCUUACUUUAGUCUUGGUUAUGUUUUGGUUGAUUUGUAAUACUUAUUACUUAAAUAUAAAUAUAUUAUGUUCA